rnacentral:rRNA from 1 species
UGGGGAAUUUUGGACAAUGGGCGAAAGCCUGAUCCAGCAAUGCCGCGUGUGUGAAGAAGGCCUUCGGGUUGUAAAGCACUUUUGUCCGGAAAGAAAUCCUUGGCUCUAAUACAGUCGGGGGAUGACGGUACCGGAAGAAUAAGCACCGGCUAACUACGUGCCAGCAGCCGCGGUAAUACGUAGGGUGCAAGCGUUAAUCGGAAUUACUGGGCGUAAAGCGUGCGCAGGCGGUUUGCUAAGACCGAUGUGAAAUCCCCGGGCUCAACCUGGGAACUGCAUUGGUGACUGGCAGGCUAGAGUAUGGCAGAGGGGGGUAGAAUUCCACGUGUAGCAGUGAAAUGCGUAGAGAUGUGGAGGAAUACCGAUGGCGAAGGCAGCCCCCUGGGCCAAUACUGACGCUCAUGCACGAAAGCGUGGGGAGCAAACAGGAUUAGAUACCCUGGUAGUCCACGCCCUAAACGAUGUCAACUAGUUGUUGGGGAUUCAUUUCCUUAGUAACGUAGCUAACGCGUGAAGUUGACCGCCUGGGGAGUACGGUCGCAAGAUUAAAACUUCAAAUGGAAUUGAC